AACGUCAAAGUCCUUCAUGGCCCUUAUAGGUGGGGCUACACACGUCAUACAAUGGGCUGGUACAGAGGGUUGCCAACCCGCGAGGGGGAGCCAAUCCCAUAAAGCCAGUCGUAGUCCGGAUCGCAGUCUGCAACUCGACUGCGUGAAGUCGGAAUCGCUAGUAAUCGCGGAUCAGAAUGUCGCGGUGAAUACGUUCCCGGGUCUUGUACACACCGCCCGUCACACCAUGGGAGCGGGUUCUGCCAGAAGUAGUUAGCCUAACCGCAAGGAGGGCGAUUACCACGGCAGGGUUCGUGACUGGGGUGAAGUCGUAACAAGGUACCCCAACCGGAAGAUGAGG
rnacentral:rRNA from 1 species